UGGGGAAUAUUGGACAAUGGGGGCAACCCUGAUCCAGCAAUGCCGCGUGUGUGAAGAAGGCCUUCGGGUUGUAAAGCACUUUCAGUGGGGAGGAAGGGGCGUACGUUAAUACCGUGCGUCAUUGACGUUACCCACAGAAGAAGCACCGGCUAACUCUGUGCCAGCAGCCGCGGUAAUACAGAGGGUGCAAGCGUUAAUCGGAAUGACUGGGCGUAAAGCGUGCGUAGGUGGUUAGAUAAGUUAGAUGUGAAAUCCCCGGGCUUAACCUGGGAACUGCGUUUAAGGCUGUUUAACUAGAGUACUGUAGAGGAUAGUGGAAUUUCCAGUGUAGCGGUGAAAUGCGUAGAUAUUGGAAGGAACACCAGUGGCGAAGGCGACUAUCUGGACAGAUACUGACACUGAGGCACGAAAGCGUGGGGAGCAAACAGG
rnacentral:rRNA from 1 species